CUCUGCUCUAGGCCAUGCUUGCUGCUCAGAAUUCUUCUUUUUUUAAUUCUCUUACUAUUGAAAAGCAAUUGUCUAUGGAGAGAAUACCACAACUUGCUUUUUUAUUACAACCCCUUUUGAGAGUAAUGAUAUCAUCCGCUGAUUUACAGUGCGUUCAAUGGCACCGCAUUUCUUUCCAUUCCCCUGCAGCCAUUCAGCUGGACAGAUGACACUUCAGUUUUAAUGUCCCAGCUGUCUCUGCAGGCAUGACGAAAACAGGAGAAAUCGCCUCACAUGAGAAUCGACCAGUGGUUCUAAAACAUUUCAUUGCUUAGCGUAGCUCAGACAAGCCUUAAGAGACGGAUGCAGAAUUUAGUGAGUAUAUUCAGAAUAACUUUAACUAAAUAAGAGCACAGCCACGUAUGUAAAUGAUAUUGACGAUCAGCAGGGCUGCUGUGCACCGCUGCCUGUACAUCCUCAUCCUGACCUUAACACUAAGUGUGUGCUGCUCAUCAACUCCCUUCUCUUAAGUACUGAGGCGUACGUGUAUUUGUUUUGCUAUGGAUAGUGUUCCACUUAUUUUAAGAAGUACCUUAUUCAUGUAUGGCUAGAGUUAUCUCAUUUUGUGGUACUGUGGGUGCUCUUAAAGAGAGCAACAACUGAAGUGGUAAGAUUAGUAGUAAGAUAAUAUUGUCUAACCGAAAAAACUAUCUUGAGAUGUUUGUGUCAACAGCCUUGUAGACAUAUUUACAAAGAAUGAAGCAUCAUCACUCAAAGAACCACUAUGGAAAUGGAUGUUCGUGGAAUUCAAGAUUGAACUUUCAUGUGCAGCCAAUCAGGGUGUCGGAUGUUUGUCUCCCGCUGUUUCUAUGUCCAGGAUUAUUGUGUGGUGCAGGUACUCCAGGUCCAAGUUUGCAGUGCACUUACCAAUAGCCACCAGUGUCUGAUAUUCAUCCAUCAUCACAAAAAUAUAAUUUCAAAUGUCUCCUGAACAAGAAUUCAGUGGGAUAAUUUAGUGUUAGCAUCCCCAUAGCCCCCAUUGUAGUCUAUGGGGUGCUGUUUAAUAAAAAAAAUAACCCAUUGAGUGUUGCUUGGCAUAUAUAUUGGUUUGAUGUGUGUAUGUAUUGGUUUGGCAUUGACACAUCUAUUGGUUUUUCAUUUACAUCUAUAUUGGUUUGUCACUGAUGCAUGUAAAUUUUGACUUUAGACUUUAUUGUCCCCAAGGGGAAAUUCCUUUCCACAGCACUGUACCCAUUUUAGAUAGCGAUACAACCAAUAUAACCAUGAAUGUAGAAUAAAUUGUUUAAUGUUAAUUUCUGAUUUGAAAUGCAAUAAGCUCACACUGAAUAAGUUAUUCGUUCAAAAACAGGUUCAUGCUGCAUUUUGUUUGAAAUGCAAGUGUCAUCGAUUUACUAACACAAUUGCUAAUUCAAGAAAGGCAUUUUCUAUCCAGAAUUCAGACUGUUGGUCAUACAUGAGUGACAAUUAAAUGGGAGGUAGUAUGGUGUGUCAAUUGUGGAAUCAUGCAGAAGUUGUGCACAAAAAAAUGGGCUCUUGUAUCCAUGAUUGGACAAUGGUUUCAGAAUGCAUAAUUUUUAUAUACAAUGUAAUAUACCUAUUUUGAAAUAUUUAUUGCAUAAAUGCCAUUCAUUAAGUUGUGUCCCCACCAUUAAGUUUGUUCUCUCACCCUGGCCAUUUAUUUGUGGUUGGUAAGCCCAUGAAAUAAAUUGCUUCAAUCAGCUAUAAGGUAUUACUUUCUAAGUAAUGUGAUGUGAAGCACUUUACAUUCAAAAUAUGCAUUUGUAC